UUUUAAAGAUACGUGAUUUCUUUGGGCCCACCCAGAUGAUCCAGGAUAAUCUCCCCAUCUUAAGAUCCCUAACUGAAUCACGUCUGCAAAGUCCCUUGCCAUGUAAGGUAACAUUCACAGGUUCCAAGGAU